rnacentral:tRNA from 1 species
GCGAGUUCUUAAGAAUAGGGUUAAAUUGCAAGUUUAAACUUUGGGUGAACCUCUUAUAACAU